GCGCGGGUGCUGAAAUUGGUAGACAGGCUACCUUGAGGUGGUAGUGCCCCUAGGGUGUGGAGGUUCAAGUCCUCUCCCGCGCACCA
rnacentral:tRNA from 2 species